UAUAAGUAUCCACAUUGAUGCAUGCCAUUGAAUUAUAAUAAAUUGAAUGGUUGAAUAAUCAAGAAAGCAAGAUAUUUUCAUUAGCACAUAUAUUUUAAGCUUGAUAAAGAUAGAUCUAAAUAAAGUUUAAGAUUUUUUUAGCAUUAUUGAAUAAAUUAUAUUGUGUGUUUUAAACGUGGCAUUAAAAAACAACAAUAAUAUUACAUUUUAUUUUUAGGUGUCUGAAUAAAUAUGUUUCAAGAUGUUACUUGGCUGAGAUUGUAAGGAAGUCCAAAGUAUUGUGCGGCCUCAUCUACAUCAAAUUAUAAUCGAUAUAAGGGUCAGCAGGGAUGAAAUCGAACUACAUAUUCACACACAUUCAGUACUAGCCUACAUUCUAUAAUGAAGUGGAACACUGAUAAAGGUAUAGUUUAUGGUUUUUAUUUAAAACUGUAUUUUUGAUGACUGCUGUUAGUUAAAACGUCCACUAGAUGGCAUUAUAUGAUCUUGCAUUGCACUAAAACCAGGUAUAUGAGCGUUGCAUUUUGGGAAAUGAAGAUGCUAUGAACGCUAAUGGAGAAAACGCUAACGCUAGCGCGACCUCUUUCAAACCAAAGAAAAACUGACGAGUUCCAGACUGCUCUAAUCAGCGAAUUACAUCUGAGUUCUGUGUGAUUCAAGUGUCUGACAGAAUUGAUGUCAAGGAGGAUUCGGCCUGAUUCAAUGAGGGAUUGAGGACCAAUUUUUUUCAACUUCAGCCAACUGUUGGAGCAUCACCCAAAGCAGAUAAGGUCGUGGAAGAAAAGACGUUAGUUUGACCAAUAAGCUACAUUGUAGCUUAUGACACAAUUGAAGUGGGCGUCAAUUGUUCCUCCGGCUUUUGGCCCAUUUAAAUGGAGGCCAGUAUCCGGACGAGUCCAGGUUACCUGCUGAUAUCGACAAAGAGAAGCACAGGAUAAAUUGCCACUCAGUGACGGUAUGAAUGUGGGUGCCAAUGGUCGUCUGUCUCUUUGUGUACCCUGUGAUUAAUCAUUUCAGCGUGCUGCCCGUCUUCCAUUGCAAGUAUUGGUGGCUCGGUGGUAGAGUUUUCGCACGCUGCGCGGGAACCCCGAGACUGAUGCCCGGGCACGCCGAUGCAUCUUGGGGUAGCCUUUGCAGCUAGCCUCGCAUCGGGGCAACAGUUCCGCUACGACAACGCGAGCAGACCAGGAUAUACGGUGUUGGAAAUGUCCCACACUACAACAAAUCAUUAUUUUAUCCACACUGGUUUGAGUGCAAUAUUGUUGUGGUUGGUUCGUUGUUUAAAAUGUGUAAAAGAAAUAAUGUUUGUUUUGCAUGUGGGAUGAGAAUUCAGUAAAACGGCAUGUGAGGGACUAACUUGUCCCCCCCCUCCACAGUACUUAAGUUACUGAAUAUGUAUAUAAAAAUGGAUCUUAAGCUACUAUACCGAGUGUGGUUUGAUUGUCAAUAUCAGUUUGCAUAUGACUGAUGAAAAAGGUAAAAUUUCAGAUUUGAAGAAGUCCAUUGGAACUGUUUUGAAAUA